UUAUUAUAAAGAAGGGUUUGCUUCCCUCCUGUUGAGCCACGUCACCCGCCACGUCAGAAAAUCGCUCAUCCUCAAGGCGACACCUGUCCCUGUUUUCGAAACUCACCGUUUCAUUUAACUUCACUUCAAUGUGCGGGCUUUCGAUCUGUUCUGUGUGUUACAUUUUGGGCUCUAGAAUCGGGUGUUUUCGCGGCCCGGGUUGAUGGAAUCAUACACAACCCUAUUCUAAAGAAUUGAGGAGAUGGAGAUCGUCUUCCACGGCGGUGACGCCCUAAGAUUCUUCUCACUUUAGGAUUUCAUUGUCUUCUUCGAUCUGUCACGACCUGAACCAACCAUGGAGAUUCUGAAAUUUGAUCGAGACGAAUCAUCGUGGAGAAACUAUGAUUCUAGGGUUCGUCGUCUCUGGAAAACAAGGUUCUGUGUAUCAACAAUGGUGAUUAUGAAACAGGGCGUGACUCGCCGCUUCGUCGGAACUCUAAGUCGUUUUCUCGAUUCGUUUCCUUCAAACAGUUACAAGUCGCAUUGAUGAAUCGUCAUUAACUAUGCUUUAACUCUUCCUGCCUACAAUCAAUCUAAUCCAUCUUGGAAGCGGUGAUUCUCACCUAUAAAAAGAAGGCUGGCCGUUGUUCUUCCACGGUGGAGGUGCGACUGCUCCGAUUCUGGGAGGCAAGAAACAUUAAACAUGGUGGCGACUAGAUGGGUGUGGACAUGUUCUUCCUCGACGCUGAGGUUGUUUCUUUCUUCAGACUCAUCGUAUCUUGAAACAGAUUCUGACGUAUAAAAUAUAAUCUCAGAAAUUUUUGAAUCUUUGAGUAUACAUAUUUAUUUCACUUUUUGGUACGACAAUGAGGCCGUUCAGUUAUAUUUUCAGAGGUUAGUGAUGACGACAAUGCUUAGGAUGGUAGUUAAGAGGUCAGUGGUUGUUUUUUUUUUGUUAUUACGCAGAGGCAUAUUAGACACUUCCUUUCAUAUGUUCGUUUUGUAUAAUCAAAAGAAUAAGUAAACCGAUGAGUAUAGAUAGCUGCAAAUUCUCUCUGCUUUCUAAAAAGUAUUUUCUCUAAACGUUUAUGGAGCUGAUUAGAAUGUCUUUCUUGAUCUUUUUUAAUUUUUGCUUCAGUACUUCCACAAUACAUACUAUAAAACUGUUAGUUUGUUAUUCUCUCAACAAAUCUCAUUCGUGUUCUUUCUAUUGGCAAUUGAUAGUUUUCGUUGUUUUUAUGAGCUGCUUCAAGAGUUUUAAUCUUCAAUUUAUUUUAAACUUCAUCCCUUCAACAUAUAGCUUUGUUUGAAUUCAUGGUAUUUCUUAAACAUAUCAGGUACUUAUCUAUUGUGCUAUGAUUUUUUCUUACAUUUUUAUUGUUCCCCUAUUACUUCUGUUGAGAAGAAAAACUGGCAUGGCUCCCGAGUAGUCCUCACAGCUGCCAGAUAUGGUGGCAAAGUUGGAGCCAGAGGCACAGCCGAAAACAAAUCAAGAAUUGGAGGCAGAGGAGUCAAAGGCAGGAGAUGAUUUUGAUUCAGCAAAACCAAUCAAACAUACCCCUAUAAUCCUGGAAACUCUGCAUAGAAUCUUUCCACUCCAGGCAGUGCAAGCUCAAGAUCUCAGUCUCAGCCAGCACAAUUAAGGAAGUGUAAGAGCAGUAUUCCUCCUGCGACUGCUCUUCCUCCAAAGGCUAAUGAAGUGUUGCGAAAGUAGGAAACGGAUCGACCAAAACUCAGUUGAAGGUGUGAAGAAAGAUGUCAACAAGAUCUUUGAGUUGAUGUGUCAGGUCUUUUUGCUUCCCAGCAAAAGCAGAAAACCAGGAGGGUUACAUUCUGAAGAUGGUGAAGUGGAGAAUAACGAAUCCUUUCCAAGUAUACAUGUUAAUGAAGAAGAUCUUAAGAGACUCAAGGAUUUCAGACUAUUAGAGACGAGCUCUUGGAGCUUAGUACUGACAUCAAGAUUUGUUUCCUGAGCUUUGUUGUGCUCCCGGAGAAUCAAGAAGUCAACAAGAUGAUGCUCUUUAUUGGUGUAUUGUGAAGCCAUUCUUCCUGGUGAAGUCAAACCUAAGAGACAUUCUCAAGGAGUUCAUGGAAAAUAUUUGAUUGAGCAUGUUGAAAAUUAAUGCAAAGUUUGAGCCAAAUAGCUUUAUGACAAUUUUGUGCAUCCAUUCGUCGAUGGUUCUUAUCACAGAGUAGAUAAUUAUUUAGUAUGUAUCAGAAAGAAAAAAAGCCAAAUAUGGAACAUUCAAACUUCAAAAAUAUAGAAUACAUAGUACCUACACAAUACCAAUAUAUUUAGGUGUGCGUGUUAGUAGUUAGUACCUAAACAUUUCAUAUAUUUUACAGAUUCAUUAUAUAAUAGAUAAACUUACAUAUUGAAUAGCAAAUAAAUUUACACAUGCAAAAUAAAAUUUGGCUUCAAGAUUUUAAAGAUUACCAUGUCAAUUUUAUUGAUCAUCAAAAUUUAAAAUGUUUAAGUAUUCAAAAUAUUAAUUUCUUUUUGAGAUAUAUAUAUACAUCUGGGAUGAAAGUUAUUUACAUUCUCUUCAAGUGAAUAAUUUCAAUUCAAUUAGAUGCUUCAAUAAAUAUAAUAAAUAUACAUAUCAAUAAAAGUUUUAUAGAAUCUUUAUGUAUGUCUACAUAUAAAUAUGUAUUAAAAUAUAAAUUAAUGAUAUUUCAAGCAAAAUAUUUAUAAUUAAUCAAAAUAUUUUACUCCAAUUUAUCAGAUAUUAUAUGAAAGUUGAUAAGAUCAUUAUAAGAACUAAAAGUUCAAAAUUUGUAUAAGAUAAUAAAAUUAUAAGGACUAAAGUGAUAACAAUAAAAGAUAACAAUGUUAUUUGAAAAACAAACAUUUUCAAGGACUUAAAAAUAAGAAACCUCAAAUAUGAAGUUCUGUACAUUAGAAUCUCAAAUAUUGAGUUUCAGUAUACAAAAAUUCAACAUUUAAAGUUUUGAAUUUGCUUUUAGAGUAUCUAAAACUCAUAUUUAAAAUUUUGAAAUUGCUUUUAGAAAUGCUCUUAACAAGAAACAAUUUGGUUUGAGUUCGUACUCCAUUAUAUGUUCGCUUCAGUUUAAAAUGUAUUUUCUUAACAAAUUGUGUAAUCAGUGAAGUUCUUGCUUUAGUCGAUAAUGUUUGGCAAUAAAAAUAUUUAACCGAUAAUGUAGAGAUUCAUUAUAUUGACACAAAAUAAUGAAAAAAAAUAUAUAUAAUAGAAAGUCUAUAAAUUAAUACUCGACAAAUGAAUAAA